ACGAACAACAACAGCUCCAAGACCAACUGAAGACGGACUGACAGCAGAGACCACACCAGCGUCUGAAAACACACCUUCAGAUGGAAAAGAUUGUAGAUGUUGUUCUGGUCUGGACUUCAUCAUGUUGUCUCUGCGUGUGGCUGAACUGGUCCUCAUCACUCUGCUCACUGUUCUUCUCUUCAGAGCUCGAGGGAACCAGAGACCUCCUGAUGAUAUCACUGUGCGUUAUGAUGGAGAUGACGACACAGUGAACUAUGAGAACGCUGGAGAGCCUUCUGCUUCAGUCAGACUCCACUGAUCAACAUCUUCCACGCCUUCAAUUUACCAGACCAAUGAGUCCACUGCUCUUAAACUUUGUUACAGCUUUUUACUGCACAUACAAACACAAACCCUGAUUUCAGUUUAAGGUGUUUAGUAAAGACUUGAUUAAUGUAAAUUGAACAAAUCAACUGCUUUUGUUUUAGCUGAAUGUUAAAGUUUAGUUUUUAUAUAAAUGAUAUAAUGAUAUUUGUUUUUAACUUUGUCAGGAAAAUCUGAAGUUUCUGCUUCCAGCUCAGGAAACAACUGAUAACUCUUUUCUUUGGACACAAUCAUUUGUAGAGUAUUUUCAUUCAUGAUGAGUUCAGAAUAACUUCAUUUAAUCACUGUUUAUAGUUACUCUUUAAGUCAGAUUUUAUUUUGCAUUGUUGCUGAGUUUAACUAGUGUCAGAGGGGAAAGAGUGUGUUUUACUGAAAUGCUUCUCAAUCUUCAGAGAGUCAGUGUUUGUCUUCUCUUCAUCAUAUCUGAUCACAGUGUCAUCUGCAAAUAAAGAAAUGUUCACCUCUUAA